rnacentral:tRNA from 7 species
GCCGGAGUGGCGGAAUUGGUAGACGCAGUUGAUUCAAAAUCAACCGCCCACGGGCGUGCCGGUUCGAUUCCGGCCUUCGGCACCA